rnacentral:rRNA from 1 species
GUGCACCAGGCGCGAAACCUCCGCAAUACACGAAAGUGUGACGGGGCCAUCCCGAGUGCCGUCCGCUGAGGACGGCUUUUCCCCAGUGUACACAGCUGGGGGAAUAAGGAGAGGGCAAGCCUGGUGUCAGCCGCCGCGGUAAUACCAGCUCUCCGAGUGGUGGGGACGCUUAUUGGGCCUAAAGCAUCCGUAGCCGGCUGGGCAAGUCCUCCGUUAAAUCCAACGAUUCAAUCGUUGGGCUGCGGGGGAUACUGUCCAGCUUGGGGGCGGGAGAGGCCGACGGUAUUCCCGGGGUAGGGGUGAAAUCCUAUAAUCCCGGGAGGACCACCAGUGGCGAAGGCUGUCGGCUAGAACGCGCCCGACGGUGAGGGGAUGAAAGCGUGGGGGAGCGAACCGGAUUAGA